UACGGAGGGUGCGAGCGUUGUCCGGAAUCAUUGGGCGUAAAGGGCGCGUAGGUGGCCCGGUCAGUUCGUGGUGAAAGCGCGGGGCUCAACCCUGCGUCGGCCAUGAAUACUGCCGCGGCUGGAGCACUGUAGAGGCAGGCGGAAUUCCGGGUGUAGCGGUGGAAUGCGUAGAGAUCCGGAAGAACACCGGUGGCGAAGGCGGCCUGCUGGGCAGUGCUGACACUGAGGCGCGACAGCGUGGGGAGCAAACAGG
rnacentral:rRNA from 1 species